rnacentral:rRNA from 1 species
UACAGAGGGAGCGAGCGUUGUUCGGAAUUACUGGGCGUAAAGGGCGCGUAGGCGGUCCGAUAAGUCCCGUGUGAAGUCCCUCGGCUCAACUGAGGAAUGGCACGGGAAACUGACGGGCUUGAGUUCGGGAGAGGGAAGCGGAAUUCCGGGUGUAGCGGUGAAAUGCGUAGAUAUCCGGAGGAAGCACCGGUGGCGAAGGCGGCGUCCUGGACCGACACUGACGCUGAGCGCGAAGACUAGGGAGC